GAUGAUUUAGUGCCCUUAAAACUUAUAUUUAUGCUAGAUGAACCCAAUAUUUCAUUCUAAAGUUAUUCUUUUCUGAUUUUCAGUUUUGCUAUGGAAAACCAUGGCCUGCUAUGUGUUGAUUUUUUUUAAUGUUAAUGUAGUAGUUUGAUAUAUUUUUUGUGCUAAUAUUUCAUUUUUCUGUGGUUGGAAAUAUUUCUGCUCAGUUGGGUGUCAAUGGUGCUUUUUGGAUCAAUCUUUGACUGGUAAUGUAAUGUAUUUGAGCAUGUUAAAUAUGUACAUAUGUGCAUCUGCGUGUGCAUGUGUGUGGUAACUUGUUUGAAUCAACUUGGAUUCCAGAGUUGAUUAUUUCCAGUUGUAAGAAACUGAUGAUAUUAAUGCGGGCUGUUGGAAAAGAAAACCUUCCUAUUAUUAUGUUUGAACAGAACUGAAAACACAUGCUUAGAACUGGGGAAGUAAACAGUACUUUAAUUGCAUGACCAGAUAAAAAAUUAACAUGGGAUGCACAUCGAGGAGAAAAAUUGAUGUCAAUGGCCAUCAGAUUCCUCAAGAGAGAUGAAGUAAUGAAUCUAUGAAUCUAAGUGUCUGUUAUUAAAUCUAAGCAUGACAGGAUGAGGGCAGUAGUGAAGCUUUGCUGUUCAACAAUGUACUUGAAUACCAUUAAAGCACGAAAGCUGAACUUGAUUGAAGGCGACUAAUAUUGUGGAAGUUGGUAGAUUUCAAUUGCGUCGGAAAUAGCUUUGUUGAGUUGACUCAGCAAAAAGGUAAAGAAAUUGGGACGUCCUCAAGAGCUUUCUAGCUAUGGUUGUGAGUGAAACUUGGACCUCAAUGACAUGUUUUACGAAGGCGCUAUUGAUUCUUUUGAUCCCUUGAGGAAGAAACAUAAGGUUUUUUAUGUUGAUGGUGAUGAGGAGAAUUUGAAUCUAAAAAGGGAACGUUGGAUUUUGCUUGGCGGCAGUUCUUGUCAUCAAGUGAUGGUGGAGGGG